rnacentral:rRNA from 1 species
UGGGGAUGACGUCAAGUCCUCAUGGCCCUUAUAGUGGGGCUACACACGUCAUACAAUGGAUGGUACAAAGGGUCGCCAACCCGCGAGGGGGAGCCAAUCCCAUAAAGCCAUUCGUAGUCCGGAUCGCAGUCUGCAACUCGACUGCGUGAAGUCGGAAUCGCUAGUAAUCGUGGAUCAGAAUGUCACGGUGAAUACGUUCCCGGGUCUU